CAGCCGCCGCGGUAAUACGUAGGUGGCAAGCGUUGUCCGGAAUUAUUGGGCGUAAAGGGCUCGCAGGCGGUUUCUUAAGUCUGAUGUGAAAGCCCCCGGCUCAACCGGGGAGGGUCAUUGGAAACUGGGAAACUUGAGUGCAGAAGAGGAGAGUGGAAUUCCACGUGUAGCGGUGAAAUGUGCAGAGAUGUGGAGGAACACCAGUGGCGAAGGCGACUCUCUGGUCUGUAACUGACGCUGAGGAGCGAAAGCGUGGGGAGCGAACAGGAUUAGAUACCCCCGUAGUCCCUGUCUCUUAUAA
rnacentral:rRNA from 1 species